rnacentral:rRNA from 1 species
AGUUUUGAACCUGGCUCAGGAUGAACGCUGGCGGCGUGCUUAACACAUGCAAGUCGAACGAUGAACCUCGCUUGCGGGGGGAUUAGUGGCGAACGGGUGAGUAACACGUGAGUAACCUGCCCUUAACUCUGGGAUAAGCCUUGGAAACGGGGUCUAAUACUGGAUAUUGACUUUACCUCGCAUGGGGUUUGGUUGAAAGAUUUAUUGGUUUUGGAUGGACUCGCGGCCUAUCAGCUUGUUGGUGAGGUAAUGGCUCACCAAGGCGACGACGGGUAGCCGGCCUGAGAGGGUGACCGGCCACACUGGGACUGAGACACGGCCCAGACUCCUACGGGAGGCAGCAGUGGGGAAUAUUGCACAAUGGGCGAAAGCCUGAUGCAGCGACGCCGCGUGAGGGAUGACGGCCUUCGGGUUGUAAACCUCUUUCAGUAGGGAACAAGGCCAGCAUUUUUGUUGGUUGAGGGUACUUGCAGAAGAAGCGCCGGCUAACUACGUGCCAGCAGCCGCGGUAAUACGUAGGGCGCAAGCGUUAUCCGGAAUUAUUGGGCGUAAAGAGCUCGUAGGCGGUUUGUCGCGUCUGCCGUGAAAGUCCGGGGCUCAACUCCGGAUCUGCGGUGGGUACGGGCAGACUAGAGUGAUGUAGGGGAGACUGGAAUUCCUGGUGUAGCGGUGAAAUGCGCAGAUAUCAGGAGGAACACCGAUGGCGAAGGCAGGUCUCUGGGCAUUAACUGACGCUGAGGAGCGAAAGCAUGGGGAGCGAACAGGAUUAGAUACCCUGGUAGUCCAUGCCGUAAACGUUGGGCACUAGGUGUGGGGGACAUUCCACGUUUUCCGCGCCGUAGCUAACGCAUUAAGUGCCCCGCCUGGGGAGUACGGCCGCAAGGCUAAAACUCAAAGGAAUUGACGGGGGCCCGCACAAGCGGCGGAGCAUGCGGAUUAAUUCGAUGCAACGCGAAGAACCUUACCAAGGCUUGACAUGAACUGGAAAUACCUGGAAACAGGUGCCCCGCUUGCGGUCGGUUUACAGGUGGUGCAUGGUUGUCGUCAGCUCGUGUCGUGAGAUGUUGGGUUAAGUCCCGCAACGAGCGCAACCCUCGUUCUAUGUUGCCAGCACGUGAUGGUGGGGACUCAUAGGAGACUGCCGGGGUCAACUCGGAGGAAGGUGAGGACGACGUCAAAUCAUCAUGCCCCUUAUGUCUUGGGCUUCACGCAUGCUACAAUGGCCGGUACAAUGGGUUGCGAUACUGUGAGGUGGAGCUAAUCCCAAAAAGCCGGUCUCAGUUCGGAUUGGGGUCUGCAACUCGACCCCAUGAAGUCGGAGUCGCUAGUAAUCGCAGAUCAGCAACGCUGCGGUGAAUACGUUCCCGGG